UACGUAGGGUGCGAGCGUUAAUCGGAAUUACUGGGCGUAAAGCGUGCGCAGGCGGUUUUGCAAGCCGGAUGUGAAAUCCCCGGGCUCAACCUGGGAACUGCAUUUGUGACUGUACAGCUGGAGUGCGGCAGAGGGGGAUGGAAUUCCGCGUGUAGCAGUGAAAUGCGUAGAUAUGCGGAGGAACACCGAUGGCGAAGGCAAUCCCCUGGGCCUGCACUGACGCUCAUGCACGAAAGCGUGGGGAGCAAACAGG
rnacentral:rRNA from 1 species